rnacentral:rRNA from 1 species
GACGAACGCUGGCGGCGUGCUUAACACAUGCAAGUCGAACGGUGAAGCCCUUCGGGGUGGAUCAGUGGCGAACGGGUGAGUAACACGUGAGCAACCUGCCCCUGGCUCUGGGACAACCACUGGAAACGGUGGCUAAUACCGGAUACGACUCACCUCGGCAUCGAGUGUGGGUGGAAAGUUUUUCGGCUGGGGAUGGGCUCGCGGCCUAUCAGCUUGUUGGUGGGGUAAUGGCCUACCAAGGCGACGACGGGUAGCCGGCCUGAGAGGGCGACCGGCCACACUGGGACUGAGACACGGCCCAGACUCCUACGGGAGGCAGCAGUGGGGAAUAUUGCACAAUGGGCGAAAGCCUGAUGCAGCGACGCCGCGUGAGGGAUGACGGCCUUCGGGUUGUAAACCUCUUUCAGCUCCGAAGAAGCGAAAGUGACGGUACCUGCAGAAAAAGCACCGGCUAACUACGUGCCAGCCGCCGCCGUAA